UGGUGGGUAGUUUGACUGGGGCGGUCUCCUCCUAAAGAGUAACGGAGGAGCACGAAGGUUGGCUAAUCCUGGUCGGACAUCAGGAGGUUAGUGCAAUGGCAUAAGCCAGCUUGACUGCGAGCGUGACGGCGCGAGCAGGUGCGAAAGCAGGUCAUAGUGAUCCGGUGGUUCUGAAUGGAAGGGCCAUCGCUCAACGGAUAAAAGGUACUCCGGGGAUAACAGGCUGAUACCGCCCAAGAGUUCAUAUCGACGGCGGUGUUUGGCACCUCGAUGUCGGCUCAUCACAUCCUGGGGCUGAAGUAGGUCCCAAGGGUAUGGCUGUUCGCCAUUUAAAGUGGUACGCGAGCUGGGUUUAGAACGUCGUGAGACAGUUCGGUCCCUAUCUGCCGUGGGCGCUGGAGAACUGAGGGGGGCUGCUCCUAGUACGAGAGGACCGGAGUGGACGCAUCACUGGUGUUCGGGUUGUCAUGCCAAUGGCACUGCCCGGUAGCUAAAUGCGGAAGAGAUAAGUGCUGAAAGCAUCUAAGCACGAAACUUGCCCCGAGAUGAGUUCUCCCUGAGACUUAGAGUCUCCUGAAGGAACGUUGAAGACGACGACGUUGAUAGGCCGGGUGUGUAAGCGCAGCGAUGCGUUGAGCUAACCGGUA
rnacentral:rRNA from 2 species